UUCCCUGUAGCUCAGUUGGUAGAGCGUGGUGUUUGCAACACCAGGGUUGGUGGUUCGAUUCCCACGGGGGGC
rnacentral:tRNA from 1 species